UCUCGAUUCGUCUAGUGGUUAGGAUACCUGCUUGUCAUUCUCUUUACGGGCCUUCGAAUAGCCUAGCACAGCUGAAUUCGCAGGUGGCCGGGGUUCAAUUCCCCGAUCGAGAG